AUGACACCAGCAUGCUCGGAAGUACAUGAAAAUGGUUAUCGCCUCAGUGCUGCCAAGGCCCCCGUGGAGAAGCUGAGCUCAACGGCAGAUCUGAGAUAUCUAAGCGGAUACAAAGCUAUUUCAGCAAGGCGGACAAUUAAGUGUGUUGUUGUGGGUGAUGGUGCUGUGGGUAAAACACGUCACCUGAUUUUCUACAAACGCGUUCCGGCUGUUUCUAACAACUACACAGCCACAGUUCUGCCUGGUGGAGAGCCACACGCUCCUGGACUUUUUGAUUCUGCAGGACAAGAGGAUUACGAUAGAUUACGGCCACCAGUUAUCCACAGGCAGAUGUAUUUUUAGUCUGUUUUUUCGCUGUUUCUCCAUCCUUAUUUGAAAAUGUGGAAGGAAUGUGGGUGCCUGAGAACACCCACCACUGUCCAGAGACUCCUUUCUUGCUUGUUGGGACCCAAACUGAUCUCAGAGAAGACCCCUCUACUAUUGAGAAGCUUGCCAAGAACAAACAGAAGCCCAUUACCCCAGAGACUGCUGAAAAGCUGGCCCGUGAUCUGAAAGCUGCCAAGCAUGUGGAAUGUUCUGAGCUCACAAAGGCAGGCCUAGAGAACGUAUUUGAUGGGUCUGCAAUUUUGGCUUCCCUGGAGCCAAACAGCCCCAGGUGCGUGCCCUAUGAAGACUCUCCAGGGCCCUUUCUGCACAGCUGGGGUCGGCGUGGCACUGAAAGCAACGCUGAAAUCAAACUAAAGAUCAAAAAUUAA